AUGGAGGCUCUGACGACCCAGGCAAACGCCGCAGAUUCAGCUGCCACGCACACAGGAGCCCCGCCUGCCAUUCAAACCGUACUCGAAGAUGCUAAUCUUGAUGCAAGUAGUGGGGGAAAUGUGGGGCAGGAAAGCAUGGGUCCAAGAGAGGGUGAUGAGGUGGAAAAAAUGUCCAACCUCAGUCUGUGUCAGGAUAUGGAAGCUGAGGCCCCACAACCACAGGCAGCUCCCGAUCAAGCUAUAUGGCAGAGGGCUAACAUCAGGGGACGCAUAGGGAAGAAGAACAGCCGUAAAAGGAGGAAUAGGAAGGAAAGAAAGAUGGUGUAUCUUCCUUGUCCUCUGACGCUGCGGACUCGAGCAUCUUCGGCAGCCCCAGUUCUGGGUCACGCUCCUGUCCUGGGGCCUCUGUUAGGGGAUGUCAGUGUGGAGGGUGAAACCUGGGAGCAAAGGGAGAAUGGUGAGGGUAAAAAGGCAUCCAUUCUCAGUCAGUCUCGGAUGGCACCGGCUGGUGCCCUGUUGCCAGCAGCAAGUCCAACUCAGUCCUCUGCUGAGUGGAACUCUCUGGUGGACAACCAGGAGAUAAAAGUAGAGAAGGAAAACAGCCAUAAAGGGAGAAAUAAAAAGAAGAAGAUCAUGUGUAGCCCCUGGCCUCUUACGGUACAGGCUUGGGCAUCUUAUACGGACCCAGGUCCAUUACCCACAGCUCCGUUACCCACAGCUCCUGCUGGGGCUUCAGCAGUUGCUGAUGAUGGAGUCAACACUGGGCUUCAAAGCAGGGAUCGAAAGGAGGAGAAAGAUAAAAUGUCACUGGUUACUUCUUAUCAGAGUGCUCAGGCUGGCAGCCCGUGCUCAGAUGUGGCAUCGGGCCAUGGCUCACUGGAGGAGGUUUCCUUUGCUAAAGAUGGGUUGAAUGUAGGGGAGAAAAGCGGGUGUACGAAGAGGGAUAGAAAAGACCAAAGCGUCUUGUCUCCUUCUCGGCCUCUGACAGUCCAAGCUUGGACCUCAUUCAGAGCCAAAGAUGGGGUUCAGACUCUCUUGCAGGGUGAGUCUUCCAUGGCAAGCGUAAGGAUGGAUACGGGCCAGAAAGGCAGGCCUCAAGCGGAGAGUAGUAAGGAAGGAGCAAAGUCCAUUCUUCCUUGCCCUGUGAGGGUCCAGGCAGAUGCUUCCUUCGCAGCCAAAGCUCUGGGGCAGGAUUCAUUUGAGGGGACUUCUGCUCUGGAAGACCGAUUUUCCAAGCUGAGUCAAAGCAAGAGGGGGCCCCAGCAGGGAGAGGAGAGCCAAGUGCAGAGCAGUACAUAG
rnacentral:lncRNA from 1 species